rnacentral:rRNA from 1 species
CCUAACACAUGCAAGUCGAGCGAGGAGAUUCCUCGGGAUGAUCCUAGCGGCGGACGGGUGAGUAACACGUGGGCAACCUGCCUCAUAGAGAGGAAUAGCCUUCCGAAAGGGAGAUUAAUACCUCAUAACAUUGCAGUUUCGCAUGGAACAGCAAUUAAAGGAGUAAUCCGCUAUGAGAUGGGCCCGCGGCGCAUUAGCUAGUUGGUGAGGUAACGGCUCACCAAGGCGACGAUGCGUAGCCGACCUGAGAGGGUGAUCGGCCACAUUGGGACUGAGACACGGCCCAGACUCCUACGGGAGGCAGCAGUGGGGAAUAUUGCACAAUGGGGGAAACCCUGAUGCAAGCAACGCCGCGUGAGUGAUGACGGCCUUCGGGUUGUAAAGCUCUGUCUUCAGGGACGAUAAUGACGGUACCUGAGGAGGAAGCCACGGCUAACUACGUGCCAGCAGCCGC